AUACAAAUUAUUUAGUAAUCUUGUUUAAUUGCAGAUUCUGACACAGUGGAUCUGGGAUGGGGUCUGAGAGUCUGCAUUCAUAACAAGCCCCCAUAGCAGUUCUAGU
rnacentral:pre_miRNA from 1 species